UACGUAGGGGGCGAGCGUUGUCCGGAUUUAUUGGGCGUAAAGAGCGUGUAGGCGGCUAGGUAGGUCCGUUGUGAAAACUCAAGGCUCAACCUCGAGACGUCGAUGGAAACCAUCUAGCUAGAGUCCGGAAGAGGAGAGUGGAAUUCCUGGUGUAGCGGUGAAAUGCGCAGAUAUCAGGAAGAACACCCGUGGCGAAGGCGGCUCUCUGGUACGUGACUGACGCUGAGACGCGAAAGCGUGGGGAGCGAACAGG
rnacentral:rRNA from 1 species